rnacentral:rRNA from 1 species
ACGGGGUGCAGCAGGCGCGAAAACUCCGCAAUUCGCGAAAGCGUGACGGGGGAACUCCAAGUGCUGCAGCGUUAGCUUAGCUUUUAUAAAGUGUAAACAUCUUUAUGAAUAAGGGCGGGGCAAGACCGGUGCCAGCCGCCGCGGUAACACCGGCCGCUCAAGUGGUGACCGUUAUUAUUGGGCCUAAAGCGUCCGUAGCCUGUCUGAUAAGUCCUUGGGUAAAUCCUGACGCUUAACGUUAGGAAUUCUAGGGAUACUGCCAGACUCGAGGCCGAGAGAAGUCAGAGGUACUCUUGGGGUAGCGGUGAAAUGCUGUAAUCCUGAGGGGACCACCAGUGGCGAAGGCGUCUGACUAGAGCGGGCCUGACGGUGAGGGACGAAAGCCAGGGUAGCGAACGGGAUUAGAUACCCCGGUAGUCCUGGCCGUAAACGCUGCGCGCUAGGUGUUGCAUGCUCUACGGGGGCAUGCAGUGCCGAAGAGAAGUUGAUAAGCGUGCCGCCUGGGAAGUACCAUCGCAAGGUGGAAACUUAAAGGAAUUGGCGGGGGAGCACCACAAGGG